rnacentral:rRNA from 1 species
AUUGAACGCUGGCGGCAGGCUUAACACAUGCAAGUCGAACGAGUGGCGGACGGGUGAGUAAUGUCUGGGAAACUGCCUGAUGGAGGGGGAUAACUACUGGAAACGGUAGCUAAUACCGCAUACCAUCAGAUGUGCCCAGAUGGGAUUAGCUAGUAGGUGGGGUAAGGGCUCACCUAGGCGACGAUCCCUAGCUGGUCUGAGAGGAUGACCAGCAACACUGGAAAUGAGACACGGUCCAGACUCCUACGGGAGGCAGCAGUGGGGAAUAUUGCACAAUGGGCGCAAGCCUGAUGCAGCCAUGCCGCGUGUGUGAAGAAGGCCUUCGGGUUGUAAAGCACUUUCAGCGGGGAGGCGUUACUCGCAGAAGAAGCACCGGCUAACUCCGUGCCAGCAGCCGCGGUAAUUC